AUUUACUCCAAUAUUUAAGAGUUUCAACGGAAAAGGCGUUGACAAAUUGUAAAUUAAAAGUUGCACACAUACAAAUCACACAAAACCACAGAGA